GGGCCCAUAAUUUAAUGGUAGAAUGCGACAUUUGCAAUGUCGAGAUGCCGGUUCGAUUCCGGCUGGGUCCA
rfam:Candidatus Colwellbacteria bacterium RIFCSPLOWO2_01_FTLL_48_10 rifcsplowo2_01_scaffold_34887, whole genome shotgun sequence.